UACGUAGGUGGCAAGCGUUGUCCGGAUUUACUGGGCGUAAAGAGCGCGCAGGCGGUCGUUCAAGUCGCGUGUGAAAGCCCCCGGCUCAACUGGGGAGGGUCACGCGAUACUGAUCGACUCGAAGGCAGGAGAGGGUAGUGGAACUGCGAGUGUAGAGGUGAAAUUCGUAGAUAUUCGCAAGAACACCAGUGGCGAAGGCGGCUCACUGGCCCGAUACUGACGCUGAGGCACGAAAGCGUGGGGAGCAAACAGG
rnacentral:rRNA from 1 species